GUCCCUCCCCUUAGUGGCCGGCCUCUUGGAAGAAAAAGGAGAGAAAAUGUUUCACCCAAUUUCAACAAGAAAACCCUAAAUGAAAAUAAAGCUAUAAAGUUGAAUUUAUACUUCAUUACAAGUGAGUGGCAAACUUGUAAUUAAUCCAAGUUUGCCCAUCCACCCUAAUGGCCGGCCUCUUUGAUGUUAUUGGGCUAUUUGCCCAUUUUGUUUUAGUUGUCAUACAACUUAAACAUAAUGGGCCUUUUGGACCAAAAACGCUUUUGGGCCCCGAAACCCAAAAACCAACAUAUAAGCCCAACACGAACCUUUUCGUAAAAUUAAUUAACUAAUUAAUUAAUCUUGACCAUUCUUCAAUUAAACCAUUUAAUUGCUUAUCCAUUUCAUUUGAUUUCUUCACAUACAUCCUUACUCGGUGUACGAUUCAUUAGGUUCCAAUUAGAAAGGUAGUGGGCGAUUGUUACUCUUAACGAUCGAUUGUGAAAUUGAAACCACAUU
rnacentral:lncRNA from 1 species